rnacentral:lncRNA from 1 species
CCCCAUACAUUCACCAAACACACACAUUCACACAGGGGAUCGGGAAGUGCCUCUCCAUUGGGGAAUGGAGAGGCACCAUAACAGGGUGGUGGGUUGGUACACAUAUUUGGGCCUCUCCGGUGGGGGCCUGGCCCCUCUGUUGGUGGCUGGGCCACUGCAUAGAGUAAAAGCACAUCAAGAUGGUGCGGUCGGGCGUGGCGGUGGGUCUCGGGGGGGCUUUGCCGGGGUUUCUCCUUGCGGGGUCUUUCCGGGCUGUGUCGGCCGGGUGGGGCGCGGGGGUGCCUCUCCCCCUUGGGUGUGGCUUGGUGCUUGCUUUGUCUCCUGGUGGCCUUGGGGGCGGGCCCCGCGGUGUGCGGGCCCGGGGCGGCCUGCGUCGCCGGUUUGGGGGGUGGGUGUGCUGGGGGGGUGCUGGUGUCCUCACCGGGGUUGGGGCAGGGUUGUUUGGCGCCUCGGGAUGAUGCUGUUUACUGGGGGGGCGGCGUUAGCUGUUCCGAUGGUUGAGGUUGCUUUCGGCCGCCUGGUGGGUAUGUCCUGCCAUCUGCGGACUGGUGGGUGGGUCCGGGGCAUCUUUGGCUGGGGGCUGCUGUCCCGCGCUGGAUGUGUGCCGGUGGGGUGCCUCCGUCCCCGCGGUGGGGGUCGCCGGUUGCUCGCGGGCCGGCGGGGGGCGCUGCCCCGUGGCUUGCGCUGUCCGGGGGGCGGCGGGCCCUGGGCUGCUGGCCUUGUGCCGUCUGGGGCUGUGCGGUCCUGCUGGGCUGUGGCCGGGACCUGGGCUGGGGUGGGGGGCGCGUCCCGGGGGGCUUGCCCUUGGGGGGUCCUGGUCCCUGGGGGUACUCCUGGGGCCCGGGGUGCUUGGCCGGCUGGCCGGGCCGGUCCUGGCGGGGGUCUUCUGGGGCGGGUGGCGCGUGCCGCGCCCUUGCAUACCUUCUGGUGCGGCCCCUGCUUGGGCAGUCCCCCGUGAGGCAGAGUGUCGGGGUGGGAUUAGGGGGCCACAUCCCGGCGGGGCGGUCUGGCUUGGCCUCUGGAGGGGGCCCUGGCUUUAAAGAAC